CUAUGCAAACAAGAAAAGUUACAUUUGCUGUUCAGCCUGGAGAUGGCAGAAGGAUAUUUGAGAUGGCUGACCAGCUUCAGGCCAGUUGCAACCAAGUUGGCCAUUGAAGCCGUUGGAGACAGUUUUACUGCUAUGCAAAGUCUUCCUGGUCGGGUGCGGGAUCGACGGCCGUG